rnacentral:rRNA from 1 species
GUCCGCCUCACCGCGUGCACUGGUCCGGCCGGGCCUUUCCUCCUGGGGAGCCGCGUGCCCUUCACUGGGUGUGUCGGGGAACCAGGACUUUUACUUUGAAAAAAUUAGAGUGUUCAAAGCAGGCCUAUGCUCGAAUACAUUAGCAUGGAAUAAUAGAAUAGGACGUGCGGUUCUAUUUUGUUGGUUUCUAGGAUCGCCGUAAUGAUUAAUAGGGACGGUUGGGGGCAUUAGUAUUCAGUUGC